rnacentral:rRNA from 1 species
UACGGGGGGGACAAGCGUUGUUCGGAUUUACUGGGCGUAAAGGGCGCGUAGGCGGGCCAUCAAGUCGGGUGUGAAACCCUCGAGCUUAACUCGAGGCCUGCACUUGAUACUGAUGGUCUUGAGUACAGGAGAGGAAAGUGGAAUUCCAGGUGUAGCGGUGAAAUGCGUAGAUAUCUGGAAGAACACCAGUAGCGAAGGCGGCUUUCUGGACUGAUACUGACGCUUAAGCGCGAAGGCUUGGGGAGCAAACAGG